AUGCUCACUUCAGCAGCACAUGCACUAAAAUUGGAAUGACACAGAGACAAUUAGCAUGGCCCCUGCGCAAGGGUGACAUGCAAAUUUGUAAAUUUUCCAUAUAUUA
ensembl:snRNA U6 U6 spliceosomal RNA